AUUAGUUUUCAGGUAGUAUUGCACACUGUUUUCAUGUCAGGUGCUGCUCUUGGUUUGGUCCAUGUUAUUGAACUCACUAACUGCGUCCUGAUUACCUGUGUCUACGUUACAAAAUACUACCUCACCAAAUGGAAUCAGCGGUUAAGUUACGCAGGACAUCUCCCAGAUGGUCAGCAAAUAGAGACACUUACUUCUCCAACACCACGACCAGCUGGCACAACUGGGGAUGGCUAUGGAAGAGGUCCUCCGGGUUCUUUGACAUUUCCAGAGGGGUGUCACCUCCAACCACCGGAGGAUUCUCCACCACGGGUCGAGCCAGCACCCCAGCCUGUCCAAUAGUCCGCCCAUGUCAACGAUGCCCGUUUGUCCCUCCCAAAUAUGACGGGUCUCCAUCCAAAUCACGUUGCUUCCUACUCCAGUGCUCCCUCUUUCACUCAUCAGAUGAGAGCCCACACCACUGAGAGGUCUAAGGUUGCCACGGUUAUUUCCCUGCAGACCAGGCGAAGUACUAUGAAGAAACCACUGAUCUCGACAACCAUUCAGGGUGUCUUCGCUAGACAGACAGAGGGGAGGGGAGGUAUCCCAUCCACCGGAACCAGUGAGUUCAGAUCACUCUGAUUCUUUGUGCUCUGAGUCAGAGGGGGACCAGCUUGAGGAGCUAGGGGUUCUGCCUAACACCCAGACCUGGAUACACCUGAUGUCCUCCAUUACCAACUACAUAACAUCAGAUACUGUUGUCAUUAUCUGUUAAGUUUUCUUGCUUGAUCAUAAUGUGAGACCCAGAUAAAAAAAUAAAACGGAUUUGCA